UACAGAGGUCCCAAGCGUUGUUCGGAUUCAUUGGGCGUAAAGGGUGCGUAGGCGGCGCGGUAAGUCGGGUGUGAAAUCUCGGAGCUUAACUCCGAAACUGCAUUCGAUACUGCCGUGCUUGAGGACUGGAGAGGAGACUGGAAUUUACGGUGUAGCGGUGAAAUGCGUAGAUAUCAGGAAGAACACCCGUGGCUAAGGCGGCUCUCUAGUACGGUACUGACGCUGAGACGCGAAAGCGUGGGGAGCGAACAGG
rnacentral:rRNA from 1 species